AAACCAUGCAUUGGACAUUUUCUAAUUACUUUCUUGAAACGCUCCCACGCUUCGUAUAAUGUCUCAUCUUCAGAUUGCCUGAACGAUGUAAUGUCAUACCUAAUCUU
rfam:Gossypium raimondii chromosome 1, whole genome shotgun sequence.